GGAAGAGUGGCCGAGUGGUUGAAGGCGCAGCAUUGGAAAUGCUGUUAGGGGAAACUCUACGCAGGUUCGAAUCCUGUCUCUUCCGCCA
rnacentral:tRNA from 1 species